UCACUUAACUUCAUCAUCUUGUCCGCCUGGUUGUCCACGUGCAGCUACAAACCCAACCCCUGGACCUCAUGACAUCUCCCAAUCAAGGGCAGCAGAUCCAACUCAACCUGUGCUGAGGAUGUUUCCCAAGACCACACAAGGUCAGAAAAGAAGGGCAUUCAACCCGCAGUGAAAUUUGAUCUCGAGCUCGAGGCCGUGGGGAAGCAGAUUCGCGACCUGGAGGUAAGGCAGGCCCAGCUGAGAGAGCGGAGAGCCGCGCUGGAAUCAUCCCGGGCUGACGCUCACAAGUCCGGGGUAAGUAUACAGUGUGCUGUUAACAGUCCCACCACGUCUACUCCGUGUGUUUCUCUGCGCAGGCCCGGUGCACCCAGGACGCGAUCUUCCCAGAUGUCCUUCACUGCGACGCCGGGACACCACGGACCCUGGGUGCAUCCACAGCGGAGGACACGAGCCGGGUCCCGGGCAACGACUUCUCCUCCUCCUGCCUUCGAGAUCUCCAUCCAGAACCGCUUCGCUCCCCUCCGCGAGACA